rnacentral:snRNA from 1 species
UCGCCAGAAGAUCAAUUCAUUUAACGUACAUGGUUCUUGUCUUUUCCCAGAACCAUCCGGGAAUUGUCUUCAUUAAUGGUCGAUCUUAAUUAUUUAAUUUUUUGGAACCUUUAAAAU